CCUCACCAUGCACAGCCGACCAUCUCUCUUUUAAACUCUACCAAAGUCAAACAGAAAAAUAAUAUUUUCAAAUAUUGUUAGUAAUAAAAUAAUAAUAUUUUUUUUCUUUUUCCUCCCCCUCCACAAAUAUUUUUUUUUCUUUUUUCCCCCUUCCCUUCCCUUCUCUUCCUCCCGCCGCCUCUCCCUCACCCCCCACCCCCACC
rnacentral:lncRNA from 1 species